GGGGAUGCAGCUCAGGGGUAGAGCAUUUGACUGCAGAUCAAGAGGUCCCUGGUUGAAGUCUAGGUGUCCCCU
rnacentral:tRNA from 1 species